UACGUAGGGUCCGAGCGUUGUCCGGAAUUAUUGGGCGUAAAGAGCUCGUAGGCGGCUUGUCACGUCGGGUGUGAAAGCCCGGGGCUUAACCCCGGGUCUGCAUUCGAUACGGGCAGGCUAGAGUGUGGUAGGGGAGAUCGGAAUUCCUGGUGUAGCGGUGAAAUGCGCAGAUAUCAGGAGGAACACCGGUGGCGAAGGCGGAUCUCUGGGCCAUUACUGACGCUGAGGAGCGAAAGCGUGGGGAGCGAACAGG
rnacentral:rRNA from 1 species